UAUUAUGGGGAAUAUUGUAACCAAUCUUGUCCAGUAACAUGUCAGGGGCGGCAGUGUGACGCCGUCACUGGUAACUGUUUGAAAGGUUGCUUAUCAGGAUAUCAAGGUCUGCACUGCAGUUAUUUGAACUUAGCUUUAAGAAAACCUGCCUGGCAGCUUCACGAUUGGACAGAUAAACCAAUAGCCUGGGGAGCAGCGAAGGCGGUCGAUGGGAAAUAUUCCGAACGUGGAGCCACUGGAGGGCAGUGUACAAUAUCAGGCCCAGGUCAGCGAACAGCAGAGUGGGGAGUAGAUCUACAGAAAGUCGUCAGCAUCAGUCACAUUCAUAUCUACUAUAGGACUGAUAAUUUUGCAAGCCCUGGUGCAUACUACCAUCGAUUUGCUGGAUUUUACGUUUACAUUUCGAACAAUACAAAUAAAGACAAUGGCCAUCUUUGUUUUCAUGAAUUGCAACAAGUAAACGGUACACCAACAGAGAACCAGACGAUUAACUGUCCAUUUGAUGGGCAAUAUGUUAUAUAUUACAACGA